rnacentral:rRNA from 1 species
AAAAGACUUGGUCCUAAUCUUAUUAUCAGCUUUUCCUAAACUUACACAUGCAAGUCUCAGCACACCAGUGAGGACGCCCUUUCCCCUGCACCAGGAUAAGGAGCUGGUAUCAGGCACAAAACUUGCCCAUUACACCUAGUCCCACCACGCCCCCAAGGGCUCUCAGCAGUGAUAAAUAUUGUCUAUAAGCGACAGCUUGAAUCAGUUACAGAAAAAAGAGCUGGCCAACUCGGUGCCAGCCGCCGCGGCUAGACCGCACGAGCUCAAGUUGAUAAGCAUCGGCGUUAAGCGUGAUUAAAGACCCCUUUAACUAGAAUAAAAUCUACACUUAGCUGUAAUAAGCUUGCUGUCAGAGAAGACCAAAAACGAAAGUUGUUCUAGUCCACUUGAACCCACGAUAGUCAGA